rnacentral:rRNA from 1 species
UACAGAGGGUGCAAGCGUUGUUCGGAAUUAUUGGGCGUAAAGCGCGUGUAGGCGGCUUAGCAAGUCGGGCGUGAAAGCCCUCGGCUCAACCGAGGAAGUGCACCCGAAACUGCUGAGCUUGAGUGCCGGAGAGGAUGGCGGAAUUCCCCAAGUAGAGGUGAAAAUUCGUAGAUAUGGGGGAGGAACACCGGUGGCGAAGGCGGCCAUCUGGACGGUAACUGACGCUGAGACGCGAAAGCGUGGGUAGCAAACAGG